rnacentral:lncRNA from 1 species
GGCGAAAUCCGACUCCCGUAGGAGUCCAGACGAAAUCUUCCUACAUCUGAAGUCGGGGACGGAGUUCGGCUCCCGUAAGAGUCCGGACAGAGUCUUCUUGCAGCCGAAGUUAGGGACGAAGUCCGGCUCCCGUAGGAGUCCGGACGAAGUCUUCCUGCAAUUGAAGUCAGGGACGAAGUUCGGCUCUAGUAGGAGUCCGGAUGAAGUCUUCCUGCAAUUGAAGUCGGGGGUG